rnacentral:rRNA from 1 species
AGAGUUUGAUCCUGGCUCAGAUUGAACGCUGGCGGCAGGCCUAACACAUGCAAGUCGAGCGGAUGAAGAGAGCUUGCUCUCUGAUUCAGCGGCGGACGGGUGAGUAAUGCCUAGGAAUCUGCCUGGUAGUGGGGGACAACGUCUCGAAAGGGACGCUAAUACCGCAUACGUCCUACGGGAGAAAGCAGGGGACCUUCGGGCCUUGCGCUAUCAGAUGAGCCUAGGUCGGAUUAGCUAGUUGGUGAGGUAAUGGCUCACCAAGGCGACGAUCCGUAACUGGUCUGAGAGGAUGAUCAGUCACACUGGAACUGAGACACGGUCCAGACUCCUACGGGAGGCAGCAGUGGGGAAUAUUGGACAAUGGGCGAAAGCCUGAUCCAGCCAUGCCGCGUGUGUGAAGAAGGCCUUCGGGUUGUAAAGCACUUUAAGCGAGGAGGAAGGUUCGUUACUUAAUACGUAACGGAAUUGACGUUACUCGCAGAAUAAGCACCGGCUAACUCUGUGCCAGCAGCCGCGGUAAUACAGAGGGUGCAAGCGUUAAUCGGAAUUACUGGGCGUAAAGCGUGCGCAGGCGGUUUUGUAAGUCAGAUGUGAAAGCCCCGGGCUCAACCUGGGAACUGCGUUUGAAACUACAAGGCUAGAGUGUAGCAGAGGGGGGUAGAAUUCCACGUGUAGCAGUGAAAUGCGUAGAGAUGUGGAGGAAUACCGAUGGCGAAGGCAGCCCCCUGGGUUAACACUGACGCUCAUGUACGAAAGCGUGGGGAGCAAACAGGAUUAGAUACCCUGGUAGUCC